AAAUUGAAGAGUUUGAUCAUGGCUCAGAUUGAACGCUGGCGGCAGGCCUAACACAUGCAAGUCGAACGGUAACAGGAAACAGCUUGCUGUUUCGCUGACGAGUGGCGGACGGGUGAGUAAUGUCUGGGAAACUGCCCGAUGGAGGGGGAUAACUACUGGAAACGGUAGCUAAUACCGCAUAACGUCGCAAGACCAAAGAGGGGGACCUUCGGGCCUCUUGCUAUCGGAUGUGCCCAGAUGGGAUUAGCUAGUAGGUGGGGUAACGGCUCACCUAGGCGACGAUCCCUAGCUGGUCUGAGAGGAUGACCAGCCACACUGGAACUGAGACACGGUCCAGACUCCUACGGGAGGCAGCAGUGGGGAAUAUUGCACAAUGGGCGCAAGCCUGAUGCAGCCAUGCCGCGUGUAUGAAGAAGGCCUUCGGGUUGUAAAGUACUUUCAGCGGGGAGGAAGGGAGUAAAGUUAAUACCUUUACUCAUUGACGUUACCCGCAGAAGAAGCACCGGCUAACUCCGUGCCAGCAGCCGCGGUAAUACGGAGGGUGCAAGCGUUAAUCGGAAUUACUGGGCGUAAAGCGCACGCAGGCGGUUUGUUAAGUCAGAUGUGAAAUCCCCGGGCUCAACCUGG
rnacentral:rRNA from 1 species